ensembl:snoRNA
CAGCAUGCUUCCAAGACCUGUAGCUGGUUGUGGCCACGGGCCCUCCAAAUCAUGCUAGAGCAGCCUGGGAAGACGUUGACAGCUCAGGUCGGGAUAACACUUGCAGCUGCCACUCGCCUUUCCUAUAUAU